GGCGAGGAACGGCGGCGGAUGCGCGGGCUGCAGGGCUGCUCCCUUGGAAGGGAGCGGAGGGGACUGGCGGCGCUCGGGCACGGGCAUCGCCGGCAGCGCUCAGCCGUGCCGCGUGGGAUCGCUUGCACCGAGGCAAGCACCCGUUUGGGCGCUCGAGGUGGAGCUAGAGGAGAAAGUCCUCUCCUCCUGACUGGAAAGCAUCCAGAAAAGCUCAGGUGCAGCUCAGAUGCAAGAUGGAGCUCAGCCCUGAGUGAAAACUUCUGGGGAGCGCUGGCUCAAGGGGAGCCGGGACUCUGACAGAAAAGACAGCCGCCUCCAGCCGAGCCCUCCGGUGGGCAAGGGAAUGGCUCCGCAUGCUCUCCGUAACUCAUAUGUGGGAGCGGGGAGAGGGGGGAUGAGUCUGGAGCGCGUCCUUGUGCAGCACCUGGAGCAUCUCUGGAGCAUCUUCGCCAGCUUUGUCCCCCCCUGGGACGACCUGCAAACCUUCAAAUUGCGGAAGCAAUGUUCAGAACGAGUCGUAGGUUCCAAGAGGAGAAAUCCUACGUGUGGGAUUCCUCUGAAACCCAGCGGGAACGGAAAUCGAAAAUGAUCAAAAGAUGCAAAACAUGAUCUGAGACAGCUGGAGGAUUUGCACAAGGAGCUGAAGCAACAUCUGGAAACUUCUAAGAGAGGUUUAUAAGAGGUCACCUGCAGACAAGGAUAAAAGGCUCCAGUGUCCGGAGAGUGUGAAAUCCUCCUGGAAGGUUCCCGGUUUAAAAUGGCAAGAUGGAUCAAAGAGGUGAUCAGCAGCAUGACCGUCGUGGAAAAAAAAUUGCUUUCCAGAAAAUAAGAAACGCAAGAAAAGCUUUGGCCAACUUAUGAGCCACAGCGAACCACAGCAGAGAGUUAAGACGCUGAAAAAUCACUCAGAAAAGGAAAUCAAAGGCUUGUAGGUCACCACAGGAAAUAAACAGCCUCCUGCUGGAGACGAGGGCUGGCCAGGACACCACCGAACGCCAAGCGUUUGCCUCCAUUUGCAGUCUGGGAAGAAGGAAUCAGACUGCCCGUCCCUGCUGGGUCUGUGUGAAUGGCGUCUCUUGGAGAAUCAUUUGGGAGGUUUGUUCAGUGCAGUCCGUAACCACAGUGUGAGGGAAGGCCUCUGAGGUGCGGUGCCUAGGGGCCAGCUUGAUUGCUCCAGCUCUUAUGGCAUUGGAUGCUCACCUUUAGGGAAGAAAAGAAAUAAAGAGACUGAACUGUCUAGACUGGGCGUGUGGCACAGAAUCAGCCAUGGGAUUAGAGAGCCGGCCAACCAAGUGCUGCAAAACGCGGGAAAACAAGAUUCUAGCUGAACCAGGAGAGGAUCUGCAUCACUUUGCUUGAGUAACAAGCCAGCCAGUGCUGGAAGGUGCUUCCCAGAAAGCAUCUCGGUAGCUGGAAAGUGAGCUGGGAAACCCAACUGCCCUCCAACAAGAUAUACUUGUGGAGUACAACAGUGUGUAUCUUUCAAGCACCAAGGGAAAUGCACUCUGAUUGUGAGAAGAACAGGACAUGCCAUGGGAAGGCUGAGCCAGCAGAGCUGCAGGUUGCCGCAUCCCAGAGGUGACACCAUCGCAGGGCUUCUGGCCAUCCUUGUGCCAGCACCAGCCUCCUCGGGACGUAGAAGGGGCUGGGUGGCCCUUGGCUGUAUGUGACAGGCGUGGUCCUGCUGCAGAAGCUUCUCUCUCUCUCCUGCAGGGUCAAGCAUCACCAUUUAAUCCUCCUCAUUAAUAAGAAGUGUGAGCAGGAGCCCCUAUCCUUCCCCCACCACCCCGCGUCACGCCUGAGCCUGGUUGCGUGUCUGUGUGUGUGCAUCCCCGUGAGCACGUCCAGGAGCAGACCUAAUCGUUAUCCACGGCCAGAGCAUGAAUAAGAGGAUUUGCUUCCCUUUAAGCAAGUAAUAAUCAACACCCGGUGAGAAGGACUUAUGACCGUUACAUCUCAUUAAUGUGUUUUGACAGACAAUAGCCUCUAUGAAUACACUUUGAAGAAAGACCUGCUUUUGAGAGGACACAGUGUUUGCAAACUCACUUUACUUCUUCAACUCCCUUCGCACUGCUUAGGGAGAAGAGAAGGACUCCAGGUUGGUAUAAAUGCUUGCUGGAACAAGGAAAUGUAUAUGCUGAGCUGCAGCAGCUGGCUUUAUCCAAUGUCGUAUUGCGAUCUCUUGCCUCUUAUUUCUCCAUCCUGAUUCUGAGUGACUGGCAGCUGCAUCUCUCAAGGACCCCACUGCAAGCCUCAUGCAGAAGCAUAAUAAACGUGACUUCCACUCCAAAGAAACUACAGCAAGAGUAGGCGGCGAAACAGAAACAGUGAGAUCAUUAUGGACAGUGUAGCUACUGGAAUGUUUUCUAUGGGAGACCUCUGUAAGUGCCAGGGGCACUGGUUGGGCUCGGCUGGAGGUGCAGAGCUGCAGGCACAGGGCACCUGAGGGAGUUUCAGCCAAAGCAAAAACGGCGGAAGUUAAAUUGGUGUGGCACAGCCUCUGUGGGGGCUGCAAGGCAUGGUUUAUUUGCCAUCUGUGAGGACUGAUUUCUUCUGUACACACAGGUUUACCUGGUGGCCACGUGUGGUGGCCGGGGCCUGCAAGGUUGUUAAAUACAUGGCCGCUGUGUGGAGUAACCUCACGUAAAACAUCUCCUCCUCUACCACUUCUCGUAUCCGUCACUCCGUCCUGCGAAGCUGGAGUGCUUCAUGCUCCAGUCAAACUCCUAGUGAUGCCAGAAGGGCACAUGGAGCACACGUGAAGAGUGAUUUAGUUGGCUAAGACCUCGGGAGGUCAACUGGUCCAACCCAGUGCUCGCGGCAGAGCCAACAGAGACGAGAAGAAACGAGAACCGGCCUCAAAGGAGCAUGCUGAAAACAAGCCUCACCUCCGGCUGACCCUGAACUUUAAAAAUGUCCAUGUCAGAAGCCAGACUGAAUUGCGUGUGUCAGACCCAUUUCUAAUUGGCGGUGUCUUUUAUGUAAUUGCGCUUUCAAGAGCCAGAUAUUAUUAUUACCUGCUGUCAAUGGGCAUCGGCUUUUGGAAAGCACAGUGGCUGACUUUAUGUGUCUGCUUUUAGGAAGGACCUUUCAUCAUUUAUUUGAGACAGGGAACCCUCUGUUUCCCUGUUAUUUAGCAGACGGCGGCCGUGCUGGGCUCUGGGUGCCCGAUGGCACGUCAGCUCUGCCCGGCUCUGUGCCACAGGGCUGCUUUCUGGGCAAGGCCCUUGGUCCCAGGCAAUGUGGCCGGCCCAACGCCUUCCAUCUCCCAAAUGCUGCUGCUCCCGGUUCGCGUGCUGCAGCGCUGUGACUGGCACUCCUCCUUGGGGAGAUAGUGGCACAAAUGCGAUUACACAGGAGAGUGUGUGUUUGUACGGCCUGAGCCUCACCAUCUCUCCCUGUUUCCCGUGCAAAAAUCACAGCAGAGCAAAACCCGAGGCUCGCGGUGCCCCAUGCAGCGCUGCGUGGGAGAAGGAAUAGGAAAGACCGUGUCAUCGUGAAGCUGCGGCCAGGUCCUGCCAUUUCUGCGCCUGACAUUGUGUGCGCUGUUGGACUUCUGGUCACUGUCACCCAGUGCGUCCUGCCAUUUGGCAGGGGGGAGAGCUGGAGCAGGCAGUGCUUCCCAGCAGAUCGUGCCUGGCUGUGGAAAAGCUGAGCGAGAUGACUCACUUUGUGUAAAGGACACCGAAAUUACAACUGCGUGCCACAUGAGAGAUGGUGGCUGGGCUGGAAUCAGAAAACAUCCUCAUCCAGGAAGGGUAUUCAAGCAUGUGCUUAAUUUAAGAACGUACUUAAUCAGGGCCUUCGGGCAUAAAAGGGUAAUGAUUAUUCUUGUGUUGCUGAGAAAAUCCAAGUGACAUCCGGAAGAUCUAUUACUCUGGAAAAUUCAGUGUUAUUCCAGCGUCCUCAUUUCAUCUUUCAAUUUCUGAAAAAGUAAUUCUUUUAAUUCCUCAUUGCUAUCUAGUGCUGUGAGUUCCUUCGCAGCUGUUUUACCCUCGAUUGUUAAUGUCAAGUGGAAUCAGAAAAUAUAAUCUGGUUCAGAUAAUAAUUAUGGAAGAUCAAUCCCGCAUCCGCCGCUUCCCUCCAUCCCCAUUAAACUUCCCAGCAUGUAAGAUAUGCAUGCUUGGCUCUGCAGGGAAGGCCAGCCAUGGUAAAAGGACCUUUAUUCCCUCUUGUACUCACAGUUUAACCAUUUCAAAACACCAUCUCCAUCCCCAGUGUUUUUCAUUGUGUUCGUUCCCAACUUCUUCUCUACGUAAUAUGUAAUUCCUGCAGAGAUUAGGUAUGGCGUUUGUGAUUUUAAGUAUGCUACAUGUAUUUGUUUUCUUUACAUUAUCAAGUGACUGUCUUCAUUAGCAGAUAAUUAGCACCCAUCAGAGUCCCAGAGUUGUCCCAAAGAAGCGGGCCAACCGGAGUGGCCUUGGCUUCUCCUGGUAAACGACUUUGGACACCGCUGUACCACGGGGUUCUGAAAGGGGCUUGGGAAGCUGGGACACAGGUGGCUUUCCCACCCCCUCCCUUGGGAGAUAUCCAGCCUGCUGCUCGUGGGCAGGGCCUCAUCUGUGAGGUACUUUUAAGAUACCAUACAAAAAUAAAUAGAGGUACGUGUUUUAAGACUGAUUCUUGGUCUUGGAGAUAAGCAAGGGCUGUCAUCGGCUACAGUGCAAGUGUGCUUGUUCAUUUAUUGACUUUGGGUUAAAUCAUGUUCUUCUUCCUUGGGUAAUUACUCCCCCUGAAUCCAAUAUGACUGUCGGGAUGAAUAAAACCAGUGGAAUUUGGCCCCUUUUGGGAGACAGCAAUCAUAGAUCUAGUUGCCAGCCCAAAGCCAGAUGCUAGAAGCAGUGCUGAGGCUUUCCUGGAGGAAAAAAAUGGAGCAUAGGACUAGGGGGAUGGCGGCUUCCAGAAGAACAGGAAAAUCCAACUGAAUUUAACUGUAAUAGUUAUUAUUACGAUGGGCGUUAACUAGGCAUCGGGAAGGUGUGUUCUCCUCUGCCCCCACUGAUGUUCCUCACACAGCCCAUCCCUCUCAAAGAUGUGCUUAAGUACACUUAUGAGUGGAUUCUGUCUGAAGACAGGGUGCACAAGCAAGUGCAAGCUACCACAAGCAUGUUUUAUCACACCGAUGAUGGUGACAAAAUGUCUUGGUCAGGGGCUAUGGAUACAGAGUACAGUAUGCAACACUACUAAGGAAGAGGGGAUUUUUUCAGCUGUUUUCACCUCUGCUUUCUUUUCAUUUUGCUUUUUUGAACAAUGUGUCUUAAUCUAGCUCUAUGGAGGUAGGGUGAGAGUUAUGUGUGCGAGAAGUGCCUGAAAUCACUUUGUUUCUGCUUGUCUUUCAUACGUUCAGUAGGAUAAAUAACUGCCGAG
ensembl:lncRNA